rnacentral:rRNA from 1 species
GAUGAACGCUAGCGGGAGGCCUAACACAUGCAAGCCGAGCGGGAUUUGUUGGUUAGCUUGCUAACUAACAAUGAGAGCGGCGUACGGGUGCGUAACACGUGUGCAAUCUGCCUUUAUCUGGGGGAUAGCCUUUCGAAAGGAAGCUUAAUACACCAUAACAUAUUGAUUGGCAUCAGUUAAUCUUGAAAACACCGGCGGAUAGAGAUGGGCACGCGUAAGAUUAGCUAGUUGGUGAGGUACGGCUCACCAAGGCUGCGAUCUUUAGGGGGCCUGAGAGGGUGAUCCCCCACACUGGUACUGAGACACGGGCCAGACUCCUACGGGAGGCAGCAGUGAGGAAUAUUGGACAAUGGGUGAGAGCCUGAUCCAGCCAUCCCGCGUGAAGGACUACGGACCUAUGGUUUGUAAACUUCUUUUAUACAGGGAUAAACCUACUCUCGUGAGGGUAGCUGAAGGUACUGUAUGAAUAAGCACCGGCUAACUCCGUG